AACGAACGCUGGCGGCGCGCCUAAUACAUGCAAGUCGAGCGAGAAGACGUAGCAAUACGUUUGUAAAGCGGCGAACGGGUGAGGAAUACAUGGGUAACCUACCCUCGAGUGGGGAAUAACUAGCCGAAAGGUUAGCUAAUACCGCGUACGCUCCUUGGACUUCGGUUCAGGGAGGAAAGCGAUACCGUGGGUAUCGCGCUCUUGGAUGGGCCCAUGUCCUAUCAGCUUGUUGGUGAGGAACGGCUCACCAAGGCUUCGACGGGUAGCUGGUCUGAGAGGACGAUCAGCCACACUGGCACUGCGACACGGGCCAGACUCCUACGGGAGGCAGCAGUAAGGAAUAUUGCGCAAUGGGCGAAAGCCUGACGCAGCGACGCCGCGUGGGGGAUGAAGGUC
rnacentral:rRNA from 1 species